rnacentral:rRNA from 1 species
AUACGUAGGUCCCGAACGUUGCGCGAAAUUACUGGGCGUAAAGGGUCCGUAGGCGGUCUGGUAAGUGGAAGGUGAAAGCCUGGGGCUCAACUCCAGAAUUGCCUUCCAAACUGCCGGACUUGAGGCAGGGAGAGGUCGGCGGAAUUCCCGGUGUAGCGGUGAAAUGCGUAGAUAUCGGGAGAAACACCAGUGGCGAAGGCGGCCGACUGGAACUGUCCUGACGCUGAGGGACGAAAGCCAGGGGAGCGAACCGGAUUAGAUACCCUAGUAGUCC